CAAUCAAGAGCUUCCAUUUAAAAUAAACAGAGAGGGUGUGAGCACACGCUGAACGAAACGAAUUACUCUGAAUUGCUUGGAGUCAUGUCGCAGAAAAAAGCAGGUCUUCCCAAGCUUUUCCAGAAAGUUUGAAACUUUCCU